GACGAACGCUGGCGGCGUGCUUAACACAUGCAAGUCGAACGGAAAGGCCAGUGCUUUCCCUGUUGCUCGAUUGGCGAACGGGUGAGUAACACGUGGGUGAUCUGCCUUGCACUCUGGGAUAAGCUUGGGAAACUGGGUCUAAUACCGGAUAGGAACCGUCUUUAGUGUGGGGGUUGGAGAGUUUUUUCGGUGCAAAAUGAGCUCGCGGGCUAUCAGCUUUGUGGUGGGGUAAUGGCCUACCAAGGCGUUGACGAGAAGCCGGACGGAGAGAGUGUACGACCACAUUGGCACUUAGAUAAGGCAGAGGUAGGGAAGGGAGGCAGAAGGGGGGAAGCCUGCACAAUGGACGGCACGCGGAUGCAGAGGCGCCGCGUGGGGGAUGACGCUCUUAGUGUUGUAGAAUCAUUUCGACAGGAACUAAGCGUUAUGUGACGGUACCUGAAUAAGAAGCACCGGCUAACUACGUG
rnacentral:rRNA from 1 species